GACGAACGCUGGCGGCGUGCUUAACACAUGCAAGUCGAACGGAAAGGCCCUGCUUUUGUGGGGUGCUCGAGUGGCGAACGGGUGAGGAACACGGGAGUAACCUGCCCUUGACUUUGGGGUAACUUCAGGAAACUGGGGCUAAUACCGGAUAGGAGCUCCUGCUGCAUGGUGGGGGUUGGAAAGUUUCGGCGGUUGGGGAUGGACUCGCGGCUUAUCAGCUUGUUGGUGGGGUAGUGGCUUACCAAGGCUUUGACGGGUAGCCGGCCUGAGAGGGUGACCGGCCACAUUGGGACUGAGAUACGGCCCAGACUCCUACGGGAGGCAGCAGUGGGGAAUAUUGCACAAUGGGCGGAAGCCUGAUGCAGCAACGCCGCGUGCGGGAUGACGGCCUUCGGGUUGUAAACCGCUUUCGCCUGUGACGAAGCGUGAGUGACGGUAAUGGGUAAAGAAGCACCGGCUAACUACGUG
rnacentral:rRNA from 1 species